rnacentral:rRNA from 1 species
UACGGAGGGGGCUAGCGUUGUUCGGAAUUACUGGGCGUAAAGCGCACGUAGGCGGCUUUGUAAGUUAGAGGUGAAAGCCCGGGGCUCAACCCCGGAAUUGCCUUUAAGACUGCAUCGCUUGAAUCCGGGAGAGGUGAGUGGAAUUCCGAGUGUAGAGGUGAAAUUCGUAGAUAUUCGGAAGAACACCAGUGGCGAAGGCGACUCACUGGACACGUAUUGACGCUGAGGUGCGAAAGCGUGGGGAGCAAACAGG